UAGUAGCUCAGUCAGUAGAGCACGAGACUCUUGAUAUCAGAGUUGUGGGUUCCAGCCCCACGUUGGGCAAAA